rnacentral:rRNA from 1 species
CAAUAGCGUAUAUUAAAGUUGUUGCGGUUAAAAAGCUCGUAGUUGGAUUUCUGCUGAGAACGACCGGUCCGCCCUUUGGGUGUGUAUCUGGCUCUUUCUUGGCAUCUUCUUGGUGAACGUUGCUGCACUUGACUGUGUGGAGCGCUACCCAGGACUUUUACUUUGAGGAAAUUAGAGUGUUUCAAGCAGGCAUACGCCUUGAAUACAUUAGCAUGGAAUAAUAAGAUAGGACCUCGGUUCUAUUUUGUUGGUUUCUAGAGCUGAGGUAAUGAUUAAUAGGGAUAGUUGGGGGCAUUCGUAUUUAACUGUCAGAGGUGAAAUUCUUGGAUUUGUUAAAGUCGGACUACUGCGAAAGCAUUUGCCAAGGAUGUUUNCAUUGA